rnacentral:lncRNA from 1 species
CUCGCCUUUUUGUAAUUUUGAUUAUGCAAAUGUUGAAAUCAAAAUAGCAAUACUUUAACAUGUUACACAAUUUAUGAAAAUAUUCAAAGUCAAUGAACCAUGACUGAGUUACAUGGCUAAACAAUCUCCAUGUAAAUGAGAUGUGCCAAUGCUUAUACAACUGCAUACCAUUUACCAUCAUGACCAUUGACUUAUAAUAAGUCGUUCCCAAAUCUAAAUACAAACAUUAACUAGUAAACUAUAGAAAAGUUUCAGUCAAUAAGAGGGAUUGGGGCUAUAUAAUCUCCAUGGAAACAUUACUUGCAAAUGCCAAUAAAUUUGCAUACCAAAUAUCAUUGACUUAACAUUAGCAGUUCAUCUUAAACUGAUCUAAUCACAAACUGAUACAUGUAAACUAAGAUAAGUUUCAAAGUCAUUAGACUGUGACUGAGGAGUGAGGCCAAAUAUUCUUCAUGGAAAUGAGAUGUGCCAAUGCUUAUACAACUGAAUACCAAUUAACAUUGGCCUACCACUAAUGGUUCCCCUUGAAUUGACCUAAUCACAAACUAAUACAUGAUAACUCAGAAAAAAUUUCAGAGUCAAUAGACCAUGACUAAGGGGGCAGAGCCAAAUUAUCUUCAUGGAAAUGAGAUAUGCCAAUGCUUACACAACUACAUACCAAAU